AGGGAUGUGGACGACACGAAAACGAGAAUCAGAACGGGUGAACCCUUUUUUGAAAUUUAACACCACCACGACCCUUCCCUUACUAGCUGCAGUCUCCCAGGGCAGUACCCGACAGUCUGUUAUUAAAUGUUAACCGAGCCGCACGCACACUCCGGUUAGGCAGUCUGUUAGCCGCGUAAAUUUCGAAAUUAUGUCUACUUUAUAAUUUGGUCGACAACGAGCAAACUUUGAACCAUCAGUUAUCAGCGGUCCUGUUAAAAGUAAACGGAACCUCAUUUACAGCCGUCAAUUCCUGGGGGUCCUGCUGAAAUACAACAUUUCUCAUUAUUGGAUUAAGACAGUUGUGGUUAUAGAAACUUGAAUAAUGGCAACCGAUUCUUACAAUUUUCACCGACUGGCAACAUAUCUUAUGUUUUUAAUUUAAUAAUCGUUCGUGCGACCAAUUUUUGUGACAUGCGCUGAGUGGCUACAAGUCAUCUUUUUUUAAUUAGAAUAGUCGUGUUUGGAAGUAUUUAUUUAUAGCAACCAAUCUUAUAGCUGCUCAUUUCAACUAUUGUAGUUAUCAAAUGGAGUAUUUGCUGUCAAUUCAUAAUCUGGAAUAAUUAAGAAAUUACAAGUAUUUCAAAGAAUUCAAUAUUCUUUAUGAUUAAGAUUAUACCGCACUAUCAACACUAAACAAUUAAAGAAUAACAUAAAAAUAAGUUACAGUGGUUACAGACAAAAAAAUCAUUAUAAAGUUAUACAUUAUAAUGCGAAAUAAAUUGGAUACUCAACGUUUCUGGGCUCAUAGAAGUUAUUUAAGUACACACUUAUGUUGGUCUGUUAUUAAAUAAUACUAUCUAUAAUAUAAUCGUUUUACUUUUGGUGUGUACAUGCAUAUAAUAAAUAUACAUAUAGUAUAUUUAAUCUAUGGUACAUGUAAAUAUGCACUCCACAAUGCAAUAUUUUAAUUUGGUUUGUUGU